GUCAGACAGUGGGCAACGAGAGCUCGCUUUGGAUCUCUUUUCUAUUGCUUGGAACUUUCUAGCAUGUGGCCUUUCUUUUUUGAUUGUGUGUACAUUUUGUGUUUGUGCGUACUAUGGUGUGUUAGUGCAUGAAGGUGUCUGUAUGUGUGUCUGUUAUUUGUGUGUGUGUGUUGAUACCGUGCUGACUGGUGUGUCUCUCUCCCAGUGCUGAGGGAAAACUCCCUAUGCUGUAGAGGAACGCCGGGUGCUGUGCUGUAACCAGACCUUGCACCGUGGGGUGGAGGCUGGGCACCAGUGCUCCCCAGGUGGCCACUUGUAUCUGCCAUCCCGUGACAUGGUGUGUGUGUCACAUGUUAAUCUCGAUGAUCCAAGCAAACACUGUUGUGGAGAGGAGACAUACGACACUCAGGAUGAAAUCUGUUGCGACGGACUCAAAUUUUGUGAUGACGGCCCCAUCCACAACAGAGUGCAAAGUCCUCCUGGUAAUCUACGGCCUGCUGGGUUGCUCUGCCACCAUCCUCUUCUUCAAACUCUUCCUGGAGAAGAUCAUCACCAUGUUGGGCUUCCUCAUGCGAUGGUGCCACUAGAAGAGAACACACAAUAUCAGGCUAGGGGGCAACAACAACCAAGGAGGGUGGGAAAGAAGGGUGGAGGCCCUCUGUGUAUUCGGUCACUCUCAAACUACCUCCUCAUGCUCCUGGGGGUAUGCUGUACCUACUCCCUCUUCAAUGCCCUCUCUGUCAUCAUCAAACGGGAUGCACUGGAUCCUGAGUCAGCUGAUCCAUCUGCGUAGCUGCCUGUGCCACGGCAGACCUCUACAAUGUGUGUCUGGCUGUAGAACUCUCCACCACCCUGACCUUUUUCAAUUGCUCCUGUAUCUCUGUGCUGCUACCUUCACCUCUGGACUUCUCCCAUCCUUCGACUACCAUCUGUGGACACCUUUCUUGCUACAACCUCUGAACACCUUUAAUGUUUGUGCUUCAAUGCCUAGAGUAAGUAGACUUUGUGGAGCCAGAGUGCCUUUGCAGUUAUCUUAUGUAUAUAUUAUGUGUUACUGUGUCAUAAGCCCAUUACUACUUAAUUCCAAACUAUUUAUAGUUGUUGUUGUACAGCCUUCUUCAGGCUAGGGUCUUUUUUUUCAAUUUCCGCCUGACUGAUGUGCCCAAAGUAAACUGCCUGUUGCUCGGGCCCUGAAGCCAGGAUAUGCAUAUAAUGGGUACCAUUGGAAAGAAAACACUCUGAAGUUUGUAGAAAUGAUGUAGGUAACUAUAACACAAUAGAUAUGCUAGAAGAAAAUCCAAAGAAAAACCAACCAGAUUUUUGGAGGAUUAAAGGAUUAAAUAGAGAUUAAAUCAACUCAAAUGAAAUCAAAUUUAGGUUAUGAGGGGUGGCCAGUCCUCUUCUGGCUGUGCCGGGUGGAGAUUAUAACAGCACAUGGCCAAGAUGUUCAAAUGUUCAUAAAUGACCAGCAUGGUCAAAUAAUAAUAAUCAUAGUAGUUGUCAAGGGUGCAACAAGUCAGCAACUCAAGAGUAAGUGUCAGUUGGCUUUUUCAUAGCCGAUCUUUGAGAGUAUCUCUACUGCUCCUGCUGUCUCUAGAGAGUUGAAAACAGCAGGUCUGGGACAGGUAGCAGGUCUGGGACAGGUAGCACGUCCGGUGAACAGGUCAGGGUUCCAGCAGGUCUGGGACAGCAGUUCUGGGACAGGUAGCACGUCCGGUGAACAGGUCAGGUCAGGGUUCCAGAUUAAAUAUAUUUAAUCUGAGGAUUAAAUAGAAAUGUAUUUUGACUUGUUGAAACAAAGUUUAGGGGUAGAUUUUCGGAUUCCUAUCUUGGCAUGUUGAAUGAGUGGAUUACUCAAAUCGAUGGCGCCAACUAAAAUGACUUUUUGGGAUAUAAAGAAGGGUUUUAUCUAACAAAACGACACUACAUAUUAUAGCUGGGACCCUUUGGAUGACAAAUCAGAGGAAGAUUUUCAAAAAGUAAUUGAAUAUUUAAUCACUAUUUGUAAAGUUAUGAAACCUGUGCCGGUGGAAAAAUAUUUUGAUGUGGGGCGCCGCCCUCAAACAAUUGCAUGGCAUCAUUUUGCUGUAAAGCCUACAGUAAAUCAGACAGUGCAGUUCGAUUAUCAAGAAUUUAAGCUUUCAACUGAUAUAAGACACUUGUAUGUACCUAAAUGUUUAAUAUCCAUCAUUUUUAUGAUUAUUUAUUUGAAUUGCGGGCCAUCCAGUUUCACCGGAAGUUGUCCCGCUAGCGGGACGCCUAGACUUAAGAAGUGAGUGUAUCUAUGUUAGUAUUUCACCUGUAUAUAAUAUGUCAUGUUACAUAGUCCUUUAAUAGCUUCAUGGUCGAGCUAUGAGUACUUUUACCGUUGGGACAAUAGUUACUCUACUUGCCAUUAAAACCUAUAGGCAUAAGAUGGCCACCUGCCGUGAGGUAUUUAGCAUCCAAUAAUGCUGGCAUUUCCGCUUUCUCAUUGCCAUGUGAUCUUUCCUAGACGGCAGCCCCCAUAGCCUUGUUUAUAUUAACAUGCUAGCUUAAUUAACCUAGCAUGCUAACUGGAAUGCUCACAUUUAUGCAAACCUGUGCAAACUAUGUAUGGGGUUUAUACUGUUAUGUUAUGUUAGCUUAUUCUGUUUAUUAUGUUAGGUUAUAUCCUUUUCCUACAAGCUUAUUAGCUUUCAAGCUAUUCACUUAUAAUUUCCUUAAUAGCCUGUAGUUUGUUAGUCUAGCCGCUAAUGUAUGCUAGUAACCGUUAUGCCUUAUAAUGUGUAAUGUAUUCUCUAUUAUCCUGUUGCUAAUACUUAGCUGAGACUGUGUUUAGCUUUCCUAACCUUUGCCUAUUGCCUAUAUACAGUGCAUUGCUCCCAUUGCGGCUAUGCUAUUAGCCUUGCCUCUAUUACUCCUACUAUUGCUUAGCAUAUUAGCCUUAUAUUAUUAUAGCACAUUUAUAGCCAUGUCAUUACACUUCUAAUCCUAUUAGCUAUCAUUGUAGCAUUGUUAUUGCUAUGUUAUCAUGCCGUUACUGUUGCUAAAUCUUUAUAGCCAUAUCACUGUUUAAUAUAUCUUCCUAUUUGUCUUCUUACAGAAUACCACACACAUAACACAUCCAUCAAAUGUAUCAGUAUCACUCCUAUUCUCCUGUAAUACCUUCGUGCCCUUUGUGCUGCUGUCUGUGCCCAAUAAUGUUUGUACCAUGUUUUGUGCUGCUACCAUGUUGUGUUCCUACCAUGUUGUUGUCAUGUUGUGUUGCUACCAUGCUGUGUUGUCAUGUGUUUCUGCCUUGCUAUGUUACUGUCUUAGGUUUCUCUUUAAGUAGUGUUGUGUUGUCUCUUGUCGUGAUGUGUGUUUUGUCCUAUAUUUAUAUACAUUACCGUUCAAAAGUUUGGGGUCACUUAGAAAUGUCCAUGUUUUUAAAAGAAAAUAAAAAAAAUUGUCCAUUAAAAUAACAUAAAAUUUAUCAGAAAUACAGUGUAGACAUUGUUAAUGUUGUAAUGACUAUUGUAGCUGGAAAUGGCUGAUUUUUAAUGGAAUAUCUACAUAGGCGUACAGAGGCCCAUUAUCAGCAACCAUCACUCCUGUGUUCCAAUGGCACCUCACAAGUCCUCAACUGGCAGCUUCAAUAAAUAGUAUCCGCAAAACACCAGUCUCAACGUCAACAGUGAAGAGGCGACUCCGGGAUGCUGGCCUUCUAGGCAGAGUUCCUCUGUCCAGUGUCUGUGUUCUUUUGCCCAUCUUAAUCUUUUCUUUUUAUUGGCCCGUCUGAGAUAUGGCUUUUUCUUUGCAACUCUGCAAGGCCAGCGUCCCGGAGUCACCUCUUCACUGUUGACGUUGAGACUGGUGUUUUGCGGGUACUAUUUAAUGAAGCUGCCAGUUGAGGACUUGUGAGGCGUCUGUUUCUCAAACUAGAUACUCUAAUGUACUUGUCCUCUUGCUCAGUUGUGCACCCGGGCCUCCCACUCCCCUUUCUAUUCUGGUUAGG
rnacentral:lncRNA from 1 species